CUCACACUACUUUCUUUCUUCCCUUCUGCCCUCUCUCCCUCUGCUGGACUAAAGUGCCAAAGAGAGAUGCCAAGGGGCCGGCUUUUCUGUCCUUUUUUGUUUUGCUUCCUCUGGCCUUGGCUCCCCAGCCCGGCCCCCCACCUUGCUGGGCUCAGGCUUCAGAAAGAAAGAGGCAAGGGUAAGAGGCAAGGCUGUGGGAACGAAAGCAGAGGGAGACAGGGAGGCCGCCAUCUUAGGUAGCUGGCGCCUAUAAAAUGGCCGCCUCUCCAGAGCUGAGAGCUGGCCUGGUUGGUGGACGUGGAGGGAGGUGAGAUGUCAGGGCUUUAUGGCUGACCAGGAACAUUGUUGAGUCUUCCUACUAGUGAAACUGGGAAGAGAGGAUGGAGAGAGAAGGAAGGAGGGAGAGAUGAGGAAGGGGCAGCCCCCGAAGAGAUGUGAGCCUCACACAGGAGCAGCCGCGGUAGAGAGGCCUCCACGCUGGCCUUGGUUCCAGACCCCUCCAUGGAGAGAGAAGGAAGGAGGGAGAGAUGAGGAAGGGGCAGCCCCCGAAGAGAUGUGAGCCUCACACAGGAGCAGCCGCGGUAGAGAGGCCUCCACGCUGGCCUUGGUUCCAGACCCCUCCUGAGCGCCAAUGGUCAGAGGACUUGAAGGACUGGGGGUGACGCAAAAAAUACCGGAGGAAUCAGAACUGGGGGUGUCAGCAGGAGGAGGGAGAGGGUAAGGUGUGGGCAGGCAGGAUCAUCUGCCAGUUUAGGGUGGGGGUCUCUCUGGGGCCUGUGAAGGGCCACCAUGUACUUGAGGCGAAGCUCCAAGUCAUCUCUCCUCAGCCCUGCAGUCCGGCUUCCAUCUUCGUAACUCUGGUGACACUGUGCCCUCUCAGGCCGCUCAACCUCCUCGCUCGGACCCAACGGCCCUUGCUCAGCUCCCAGGUCAGAGACUGGACUGGUGCAUCUGAUUGGCUAAGCCUAGACCCAACGCCCAGGCCCCAGCUGCAAGGAGGGCCAGGAAGGUGCUAUGCUGAAGAGGAAGGUGGAAUACAAAGCUUCUUUGAGGAGCUAACCGUCCAGCAGGGGAGGCAGACACACAAUUACAUGGCAUGUGGAGACUGCUGUCCUGAAGACGUGUGCAAAGUGCUGUGGGAGCAGGUGGGGAGGGAACUGUGGGCCACCUUGGGGGAGUUAAGGAAGGGUUCCUGGAGGGGGCCAAAAUGUUGGUGAUGAAAGAUAAAGGGAAUAAAAGUGAUAAAAGGUAAGCAAGGAGUUGUCAGUCUAAGGAGUUUGAGGAAGUGGGUGGUGGAGAGUGGACAGUGUACGUGAAAGCAAGGACGUAGGGAAGAGCAUGGUGCCUUAGGGGACUGGAACAUCCAUCAGAGGGAGUCUGGGCUGGGGGAGAUGGGAAGUGGAAGCAGAAAUUCCAUUAUUAAGAGCUUUAUCUGCUCCAUGAGGGAGGCUGCAUUUGAUGGGGAUUCUGAGAAGUUAGCUGACAGCCUCAGGGAUGCUGGGUGCAGGGUAUGGCUGCGACAAGGACACCCGCAUCUAGCUGCCCACUGAGCCCAGCACCCAACCAGACACUUAACUGGCUCUUGGCUAGUUCUGAAGAAAGGAAGGAACGUAUGAAAGGCCUGGAAGCCACCUGAGGAAGAGUCUCUGCCUCUCCCCCUCCAGAACCGCCCACGCCCCACAGGAAAUUCCAUGAUCUUUCUUAUUCCUGUCUUGGGAAGUCCUUCCCAAUGUCUAACCAAGAUCUGUACUGCUGAAGCACCAGUUCUUUGACCCUUGGCUUGACAUGGUUAAUUUGAGAGGCACAGCUUCCCUCUACCCCAGGAAGGAAGAAACUGACUUUGAUUUGGCACCCACUUGCUUGUGUAAGCCCUUUCUUAGCCAUUAUCUCAGUUAAUCUUCCAACAGUCCUGAAAACUGGUGAUGCUGUCCCCACUUUACAAAGGCAGAAUCAGCCCCAAGAAGGACAUACCAAAAAGAAGAACCUACUUCACCCUUUGGCCUAGGUUCCCUCUGAGAAGCCUUCCUGGAUUGACUGAAAGAUGUGGCUAAACUCUAGCAAGUUGACCAGCUCCUCCAAGAAGCCUCUGAGCAGGCCAGAAGUAGGCACGCCCUAGCAACCAGCCUGGCAGCCCACUACACCCGGAGCCGCCUGGGAUAAGACUUUGCUUCACUGUUGCUCCCGUGUCCACAGGCUGUCCAUCCCGGCCCAUCUUGGUUUCUCCUUUGUCAUCUGAGCUGAGAUUCUCUGAGAUGGAAGACCCAUCUCGUGUCUAAUAAAGACUCUUGAAUGUUGAACAACAGUACUAGUGGUAGUGGAUGUACCUGCGCAGGGUUGGGAGGGGAGGGACUGACAGAGAGGAGGGCAGUACGGGGCUUCCUCUAAGAGACCAGUGCAUGGAAGCCACCUUUGCCACAGAAGGGGGAAGCCUCGCUAAG
rnacentral:lncRNA from 1 species